rnacentral:rRNA from 1 species
CGCGGCCUAUCAGCUUGUUGGUGGGGUGAUGGCCUACCAAGGCGACGACGGGUAGCCGGCCUGAGAGGGUGUCCGGCCACACUGGGACUGAGAUACGGCCCAGACUCCUACGGGAGGCAGCAGUGGGGAAUAUUGCACAAUGGGCGCAAGCCUGAUGCAGCGACGCCGCGUGGGGGAUGACGGCCUUCGGGUUGUAAACCCCUUUCAGCACAGACGAAGCGCAAGUGACGGUAUGUGCAGAAGAAGCACCGGCCAACUACGUGCCAGCAGCCGCGGUAAUACGUAGGGUGCGAGCGUUGUCCGGAAUUACUGGGCGUAAAGAGCUCGUAGGUGGUUUGUCGCGUUGUUCGUGAAAACUCACAGCUCAACUGUGGGCGUGCGGGCGAUACGGGCAGACUGGAGUACUGCAGGGGAGACUGGAAUUCCUGGUGUAGCGGUGGAAUGCGCAGAUAUCAGGAGGAACACCGGUGGCGAAGGCGGGUCUCUGGGCAGUAACUGACGCUGAGGAGCGAAAGCGUGGGGAGCGAACAGGAUUAGAUACCCUGGUAGUCCGCGCCGUAAACGGCGGGUACUAGGUGUGGGUUUCCUUCCUUGGGAUCCGUGCCGUAGCUAACGCAUUAAGUACCCCGCCUGGGAGUACG